CAGGGAGACAACAAAAUGUUUAAUAUUAUUAUUUUGUCACCUUAGGUCGAUCGGUAUCUCACGUUCUUAAUUAAUUAAGAAUUUCAUUUCCUAAGUUUUUCUAGGUCACACCCAUUAUUUUUUCCUGGGCCAUUAGCUCAGGUGGUUAGAGCGCACCCCUGAUAAGGGUGAGGUCCCUGGUUCAAGUCCAGGAUGGCCCAUAUCUCUAUGUUGGGGGUAUAGCUCAGUUGGUAGAGCGCCUGCUUUGCAAGCAGGAUGUCAGCGGUUCGAGUCCGCUUACCUCCACUGAUUACCACCUCUUCCAUAAUCUGUAGAAGGGAAAUGUUUUGAGUUGUGAUCAAAUUCUGAACGAAUCUAGCUUCCUAAUAAAAGUAUUAAGAUGCUGGACUCAUUGAAUUAAUUUCAUUGUUUUCAGAGAACCUUGACAACUGCAUAGAUUAUUUAAUUAAAGACAAUAAGCAUCUUUAAUGAUGCAGAUUUAUUAUUUGUGCGAAAGCAUUAAUAACAAUUCUAUUAAGCUGAUGCUUCAA
rnacentral:tRNA from 1 species